rnacentral:rRNA from 1 species
UUUAAUCGGACUCAACGCCGGGAAACUCACCAGAUAAGACAGCUGAAUGAUAGUCGGGCUGAAGACUCUACUUGACUAGCUGAGAGGAGGUGCAUGGCCGUCGUCAGUUCGUACUGUGAAGCAUCCUGUUAAGUCAGGCAACGAGCGAGACCCACGCCAACAGUUGCCAGCUCGUCCUCCGGGAUGGUGGGGACACUGUUGGGACCGCCUCUGCUAAAGAGGAGGAAGGAAUGGGCAACGGUAGGUCAGCAUGCCCCGAAUUAUCUGGGCUACACGCGGGCUACAAUGGGUGGGACAAUGGGUAUCGACACCGAAAGGUGAAGGCAAUCUCCUAAACCCAUCCGUAGUUCGGAUUGUGGGCUGCAACUCGCCCACAUGAAGCUGGAAUCUGUAGUAAUCGUGUCUCAAAAUGGCACGGUGAAUAUGUCCCUGCUCCUU